UACGGAGGGGGCUAGCGUUGUUCGGAAUUACUGGGCGUAAAGCGUACGUAGGCGGCUUUGUAAGUAAGAGGUGAAAGCCUGGAGCUCAACUCCAGAACUGCCUUUAAGACUGCAUCGCUUGAAUCCAGGAGAGGUGAGUGGAAUUCCGAGUGUAGAGGUGAAAUUCGUAGAUAUUCGGAAGAACACCAGUGGCGAAGGCGGCUCACUGGACUGGUAUUGACGCUGAGGUGCGAAAGCGUGGGGAGCAAACAGG
rnacentral:rRNA from 1 species